rnacentral:rRNA from 1 species
AAUGAACGUUGGCGGCGUGGAUUAGGCAUGCAAGUCGAGCGAGAACCCAGCAAUGGGGGACAGCGGCGCAAGGGACAGUAAUGUGUAGAUUAUCUGCCCUCGGGUCCGGGAUAGCUGCGGGAAACUGCAGGUAAUACCGGAUAACAUCUCCGGAUCAAAGGUGUGAUUCCGCCCGAGGAUGAGUCUGCAUCCUAUUAGCUAGUUGGCAGGGUAAUGGCCUACCAAGGCGAUGAUGGGUAGCGGGUGUGAGAGCACGACCCGCGUCAUUGGGACUGAGACACUGCCCAGACACCUACGGGUGGCUGCAGUCGAGAAUCUUCGGCAAUGGGCGCAAGCCUGACCGAGCGACGCCGCGUGUGGGAUGAAGGCCUUCGGGUUGUAAACCACUGUCAGAGGGGAUGAAAUGCAGGUGGGUUCUCCCAUCUGUUUGACAUAGCCUCAGAGGAAGGACGGGCUAAGUUCGUGCCAGCCGCCGCAGUAA